rnacentral:rRNA from 1 species
UUCGGGGGGAGCAAGCGUUGUUCGGAUUUACUGGCGUAAAGGGCGCGUAGGCGGUCAGCACAAGUCAGUUGUGAAAUCUCCGGGCUUAACUCGGAAAGGUCAACUGAUACUGUGCGACUAGAGUGCGGAAGGGGCAACUGGAAUUCUCGGUGUAGCGGUGAAAUGCGUAGAUAUCGAGAGGAACACCUGCGGCGAAGGCGGGUUGCUGGGCCGACACUGACGCUGAUGCGCGAAAGCCAGGGGAGCGAACGGG